CUAGGACAGACUCUUAUCUAGACUACUUACCGGAGCCUGCUUCCCAACCUAGAACCCGAGUGUUUAUCUGUAUUCACUGGGUGCCACUUUGGCAUAGACCCCCAGCUCAUCUGGCCCUCUUGGUGCCACAUAAAGACAGUUCUCCCAUUCCUCAGUUCUUCCCAAGUAGACUGAAUGAAUAUGAAUGAAAGACUCCGUCUUACAACCUCCAGAACCUGGAGUUUGUGCAUCUGAACAGCCAAGGCCAUGUCUGCAUGGGGAGUGGCACGGACGUCUUUUAUAGCCUUCUAUGUAAGAACCAAGUAUUAUGGUUAAAUAAAGACACGUGUUUUCCACUUUUAAUACCACUGCUGAAUUCCAGCAUUAAUGUUGUCCUCUGUGAACUUUCAAAAGAAACAUCCUGCUCUUGGGGCAAGAACAGACAGGACAUCAGAACUGACUGUACAGUACGACCGACCAAGCGCGUAUAGGGACUCAGGCAGAGAAAGGCCGUUAGCCAGGUGUCCUUGCGUCCCAGAUACCUGACUGUGAACACACUUACGUCGGCUAGUUCCUUGAUUUGCUUUGCAGAUACAUCGAAGGUGUCGAGUCGUUGAAGAGUAGGCAAGUGAUACAAGAUGUGGGUGGAGUAAUUGCACAGCUGGCACACUGGAUUAGUUUUAUACUGAGGAUCAUUCAGAGAUAAGUCCUUUAAGCGAGGCAGCCUGGUCAAGUUAGUAAGGUCCUAAAACACCGGUGACAAUGUUCAGUCAGUUAUGAACGCUCGCGCUGGAAGGAGGUGUUUUAGCACACAAGAUCAGCCACAAUCUCAGGCAACACAUUCUAACUGACCACCUACGUACGCCUGUUAAGUGAUUGAUAACAGCUGUUUCUCGCUAGUGAAAACACAUGCUAAACUCUAGAAGGAACGAUCAGUGCUUGCUGUAGAUAGCGGGCUACAUAGCUACGCAGUUUCUAUGUACCAGCUGCUGCUCCAAGCCAAGAAACACUAGCUCCACGACUCCCUAGGGAGAUCUGUGAUCAUAACACAGCGCCUUGCUGGGAAGCAGUAACAGCUGUGUGUUGUCUGUCAAACACAGUCCCUAUUGGAGAUUUAACUAGCCCUUUAAUCCCAGCUCUUCGUGCUCUCAUGUGCGCCCAUUUGAGCCAAAUGCCAAUGCUGGUGUUACUGAAAUAGAUCUGUGAUUUCUUAUUUCCACGGCCUUAUGAAUAUUUAUCUCCCCCUCUUAGAAUGUCCAUUGCCUUGGCCCAGAAGAACCUCCCCCAAUGCCUGUUAAAAUGUUGCUACCCUUUCCUAUUGAUUACUGCCUUUGUACUUUGACUAAUCAGGCAACAUUUUACUCAAAUUUCUUUUUAAUUUACUCAUUCUGCUGCUUUGCAAUACCCUUUUGUUUUUCUCUGAGUUAAAGAGUACCUAUUUACAUUGGGAGAUUCAGAAUUAUUCCUUACUCUCCUUUCUCUAGUAUUUUCAUCAGGUGGGCUUGAAUAUGUGCCUUCAAUCUCACAUUGUCAGAACUGUGAUGUGAACAAGACGAGAAAGCAAGAGAGAUUUAGCAAACUGUAUUUCAAAGGACUCACGCAAGCUUUGCUGUCCAGAAAACAGACUGAGACUAUAGAAAAGUAAAAGGGUUGACAAGGUGGUGCAGCAGGUAAGGGCACUUACUGCCGAGUCUGACAGCCUGAGUCUGACCCCCCAGGACCCACAGGGUCGAAUGAGGGACCUGAACCCUCCUGAAAGCUGUCCUCUGUCUCCACACAUAUGUCAUGGCACACAUGCAUGCAUACACAAAAAUAAGGAAAAAUAUGGAGAAUGGUAAGAAUUUGCACUUUAAGGUCUCCUCUCAGUAUUGCAG